ACUACAACCUACUAUUGGGAUAAUCUGCUUGUUUCACGUGAGGACGAUCACAGACUGUUGGAAGACCGUUCACCAAAGACCACGAAGAUAUGUCAAUCAGGAAAUCUAGCAUAUUUUUUUUUUCAACUUCAGAGUGCUUGUGCGUGGAAUCAAAGUGGUGUUUAACAAAGAGUUAUGAGAUUGAUCGCUGUUCGUUAUCUUCACCUUUCAUCACUUCUGGUUUACUAACCACAGAAGGAUAGAUGAGUGAUUUCUGGGGCCUGGAAAAUUGAUGCUUAUCACUGGACCAGGAGAAAGUAGGCUUACCUUCACAACGUGAUCCAUGGGACUGAAGAAAUGCGGCUUACCUUAAAAUCUUGGUCACCAUUGUAGGAAGGGAUCGUAUUUCACAGCUAGCCCAGUGACUUGAUCCAUUAUUUUUUAUAGUGUAACACGAUAUGAUGAAGAAACAGAGUCAGAAAUUGUAUCCACCUGAAUAUUUUACGUCGAAACUUCGAAGUGAAAUAAAGAUUUCUAAAAACUGCAUAAA